rnacentral:lncRNA from 1 species
CAACAUAUACCAACCAAGUAAGACAUGUGCGACACACAAACACAAAACUGAGAAAGCUUGAGGCAACAUUCCAAAUUAAAUGGAAACAAACACAAAGUAUCUGCAUUCACUAGAUAGAAUUUACUCAACAUUUCUCUGCCAAUAAAAACUUGAACUUAUUUUUAAAAGUUAUAAUAAAAGUGCACACACACAUACAUAUAAUAAUACCCUGCACCACAGCACAUGGGGAAUGAAUAAGAUAAUAACAUAAUGAAUCCAACAACUACAAUCAUUUGUCACUUAAGAAACCAUCCCUGUGAACAAAAUCCAGAAGCAAGCAAAAACUAAACUCUUGAAUCUCCUUGCAUUCUACUUAUAGCAAAAUUAACCAAAUGAAUUGACAUGAUUUGGAAAAUCCUAUAAUGCAUAACCAUAUGAACAAUAUAAGAAAAAUUAAGAAACUUAACCAAAAUAAGUAGAAACGAAAAAAUCAAUUUUUUAAUUUAUCACUUCAACUCUUUUUUCGGAGUCCGGCCACGAGGUCUGAUAAGUAUGAACCAUAGUUCUAAUAUUUGUUCUAAUAUUUUGGAAGAGUUAAUAAGGAAACCUUUACACAAGGUUUUGAUAGAAAUGUUUAUUAGAGGGAUAUUACGGGUAUUUAGUAAAAGGAAGUUUGGAUAUAGAUGCAUUGAGUAGGGGAAAAAGGAAGAAAGGAAGAAAGGAAGAAAGACGAAUAGAAUAUUUUGGCGAGGAUUAGGGCUUGAGAGUGAUUUCAAGAGAUUGGAAGAAUCAAUCAUCUCAAGUAUUUGUUACCGUUUAUAUUACAAUAUAUUUGGGUUGUAUCAAGUUUGUUGUUCAAAUGUUCAGUUACCUUCAACAUCAUCCUCAUCCUUGUCAUCAUCUUCGUCAUCAUCCUCAUCGUCGUCAUCAUCCUCAAUUACAGGUUCAUCAGCCUGCAAAAACAUUAGAAGAAAGUCGGCACAGAAUUAUUAAAAUGUAGUUUUAGGGUGGAAAAUACAGGGAGUUCUUAUUUUAUACCUAGGGAAUGGACAUAGAAUAUCUAUAACUGAAUGUUACACAAAAUGCAAUCUAAAACACUGAACCCCAUAUUCCAUUUCUUAAUUAAUGACCGAACUUGCAUUAUUAAUUCUAAAACGCUGAAAUUUCAAUUAUUUUCAACUCCAAAUGGCUUCAAACAACUAAUUGGCAACAAAGGAAUUAAACACCAAAAGAAAAUCUCCUCCAAAAAAAUAACUUAAAAGUUAAAAUUAAGCUCACUAAUUCAAGUAAAAGAAUUUAGAAAUAACAAAACAUUUCAAUCAAAGAAGUAAACAACCCAAGUGAGAAAAUAUGUAAUUGCAGCUGAUUUCAAACUCAAACUACCACGAGUGAGUAUGAGUACCACGUCUUGUGUAAAGGAAAGAAUCUAAAAGUGAGUCGGUUGUGAGAAAUAUUUGAGUUAUAGGAAGGAAAAGAUAUGAAAGAGAGAGUGUGAGAUUACAUUAAUCUUUUGCUCUUCAAGCUGAGCGGCGAGAAGCUCUUCCUUGGUCUGAGCAGUCAUGGCGUUAGAGAUGAGUAGAAGAAAACUCACAAAGAUUAUUCUAACGUUUGAUGAAACCCUAAAAACCCGAUUAGCUUCGCCUAUUUAUACCACCCCACUUCGGGUCUGGAUCCCGGUUCCCUCUCCUUUUACUAUUUUGGUUUUUAUUUUUUACUUUUUUUUCUUCUAAAAUGUAAAUGGUAAAUGUUAAAACUCUUUAAAAUAUUUUGAAAGUAUAUCAAAAUUUAAAAUUCAAUUCAGGAUAAGUAUUGAUCGAUAUUGAUAGAUUUCUAUCGGUAUCUAGUAUUUAUAUAUUUAAAAAUGUACGUUAUUUUUAUAAAAAAUUUUAGUAAAGUUAGAGUUAAAAAACAUACCUUGAAUUGAACUGAAUUGAGGAUGAAAAGAUGUGAUGAUAAAUUCUAAUGUUAAAUUUGAAAACGUAUAUAAAAAAGAUUUUAUUGGAAUAAUUUUUAAUAUUACAUUUGCAAGAGGAUUUAAGUUUCAAAUGCAAUUGGAUGAAAUUAAAAAUUAAAGAAAAGAAUUGAUAUGACCUGACAAUUUACGAGUAUGUAGAUAAUUUCUUGAUUGAUUUCAACAUGCUCCACAGGGAGGCGGUGACUUGGAAAAUGGAGAUAAAUGCACAGUGAUAUAUAGUAUUUAAGUUAGAGAUAAGAUAAAGUGCCUGAUCCAUGGUUUCUAGUUGUUCUUGACGAAAGCAACUAAACAUGAACCAUGUGAUUUCUCGGUCUUGGUCGAGGUGACCAAUUGAACAAGUGUUUGCUAUCAACAUCUUUACGAACAUUUCAUUUUUAUUUUCAAAUGACAAAUUAGGGUUAUUUCAUAAUACUCAAAAUUUGGUAUCAUAAGGUAGAUAAAAGAACAAGCCCAACCAUACCCACACACGCCCACCCGCUACGAGCAAAGCCCAACUCCAUCACAAUUCCUGCUGCAACGCCCACAAAAACACCCCACUUACCUACUUGUUCAUGCUGCCAAGAACAAGAACCACACCCCAGGUUUGCGCCUACGUGCACAACAAAAUCCCUUAUCAAUUAACUACGGUUGACCCGACCAAAGAUACUCACUGGAUAGUCGCAUUACGUACCAUAUUAUCAAUUUCCCUCGACGAUAAAAUAACAGGGAAAAGCCAUCAUCCUCAACAAAACAACUGAUAAAGUCAAAACCAUAAUCUCAUAAGACACAUUAAUAUUAGAACCACCGCAAGCUUUAAAAUUGUGGCUAAUAAUCAGCACAAUGAAAUAUAAAAACUAAUACGAAAGUUUACAAAAGAACCAUUCAAUCUCUCAACUUCAAAUUCAGGUAAAAACAUAUGGGAAAGCAAGGCAAAAAGAUUCCAACACUCCCUAUUAAAAACAUCCUCCUGAUACUUCUUAUUAAUUUGUAAGUUCCAUUAUUGCCGAUACGAUAUCGCCCUCAGUUGCUUUGAGUGCUUUCACCGCCUUUGGUCUUGAUACACCAGCUUGAGUCAUCACAAGUUCAAUGUCCUUGGGUUCAACCCCGGUCUCAUCGACUUCUUCAUCAUCUUGAACCACAGUAGAUGGUUCAGGCUUUGAUGUCAAGUUACUCAAAUUAGGAGCCUUAAACUGCUCUGCAGCUUGGGUCUGUAGCUGGGAGCUCAAAUCUUCAAUCUUUGCUUCACCAAAAACGAUGUAGGUAUCGGAAGUGGGACUCUUGAAAACAUCUGGUUUUGAAAUGACAAAAAGAAUCUGCAGAGAAAAUGCCAUAGAUAUUAGAUAGAAUCAAUUUAGAAAUAUCAAACUUGGGAUGUUGAAAAAACCAACAUUUUUGCUCUUCUUUACUGUGACACGGCUCACACCAGGGAUAGGCUUCAUUCCAAGCUUCAGCAUUGCUUUACGACUCUUUUUCUCACUUCUGCUUUGCUUAGACCUACCACUGGCCUCUCCAUGUCCUGCCACAAAAAACUCCGUUCUCACAACAUAUACCAACCAAGUAAGGCAUGAGCAACACACAAACACAAAACUAAGAAAGGUUGAGGCAUCACUCCAAACUAAAUGGAAACAAACACAAAAUAUCUGCAUUCGGUAGAUGGAAUUUGCUGAUUGUUCCUCUGUCAAUAAAAACUUGAACUCGUUUUAAAAGUUAUAAUAAGAGUGCACGCACACACACACAUACAUAUAACAAUCCCCUGCACCACAGCACUUGGGAAAUGAAUAAGAUAAUAAAACAAAGAAUAUAAUAACUUCAAUCAUUUGUCACUUAUGAAACCAUCCCUGUGAGGAAAACCCAGAAGGAAACAAAAACUAAACUCCUGAAUUUCCUUCUUGCAUUCCACUUAUAGCAGAAUUAACAAAUGAAACGACAGAAUUUGGAAAUGCCUAUAAUGCAUAAUCAUAUGAACAAUGUAAGAAAAAUUAAGAAACUUAAGAGAUUAUGAGGAAAUCUUAGCAUGAGGAUUUGAUAGGGAUGAUAUUAGAGGGAUUUACAGGCAUUUAGUAAUUUCACUGAGUACGGAAGGAAGAAAGGGGAAGAGAAUACUUUGACGAGCAGAUCAGCACUUCAGAGUGAUCUCAAGAGAUUAGAAGCAUCAAUUAACUCAAAUAUUUGGUUUGUUUUGUGGCUUCGUUGCCAUUUUAGUACAAUACAUUUGGGUUGUAUGAAGUUUAUUGUUCAAAUAUUCAGUUACCUUCAACAUCAUCAUCAUCCUUGUCAUCAUCUUCGUCAUCAUCAUCAUCGUCGUCAUCAUCUUCAAUUACAGGUUCAUCAGCCUGUAAUAUCAUUAGCAGAGAGUCAGCACAGAAUCAUCGAAAUUUAGUUUUACAGUGGAAAAACAAGUGAUUCUUAUUUUAUCCCUAGGGAAAUGGACAUAAAAUGAGUACAACUGAUUGUUACACAAUCUG